AUGUCUGUUUCCUCUGCCAGGCUGGUGUGGAAGCCGACCCGUGUUUCUUCCCCCAUCCGAAUGCUGGGGAAGCAGCAAGGAGGUUGCUUAAACACUUUGCUAAGAAGAGAGCAUUGUAAGAAGAAAUUAAAAAAUUGCAGCACCGGAAGCUCAAGUCAAUUCUAUUGGAAGCUGGUCUUUUUUUUUUCCAGAAGGUUCUGGAUGGAACAGACUGGACUCUUUCAAUAAGGGUUUUAAUAUGCAAUUUAAUUUACAAUAGAAUGUCCUAUAUGACUAGAAAAUGAAAGAGAAUUAAAUGCUAGAGAUAUUUCUUAGGACUUUUGGGUGUCAAACACUGAAAUUAGGUGUUCCAGGAGCUUGGGAAUCAGAGCCUCUAGAAGUGGGGCCCACUCAGCAUAUUAGUAAUGAUGUUCCUGCACUGGGUAGAGGGUCUCCCAGGCUUUAAAGGCAAGUAUGGUGAAGCAAGUACCCUUGAGGGUCUUCCUUUGGUAAUUAUAUUUUUCACUACUCUGGUUGAAGGUUCUUUCUGGAACUUUUUUGGGUAUCAGAAAGUGUUGGAUGAGCAGUUCUUAGAUGAUAAAUCUACUCUAGCAUUCCAAAUUCCCUAGAUUUUAUAUCAAUGGAGCCUUGGCGUUUUGUCUUGGUUUAGUGUGGGCUACCAGGUUUUGGUUAAUUUACCAGGCUAACUCUUACAGCCACUCAGGAUGGUGCAUUCAAUCAGGAUCUUGGCUUCCAGCUCUUGUCCAAUGUUACAUUCCUCCCAUCCCUUAGAACCCACUUCCUUACAUGCUUCUCAGGUUUCUGUCUAUAUAGACUGACAGAAUCUUGCAAUAUUUUGAUGUUACUGUCAUUUUCUCCUGGCUUACACUGCAGCUCGGGCUGAUGAGACUUGAGUCUGGUUGGAAGUCUAGAAGCAAGGAGAGGUAGUGAGGGUCUUAGGGAAUCAGCAGUCCCUUACAAGGCAAAUACCUCAAUGAAAGCUCUCAUAGAGUUCUUGGACAAGGGGAUCCUGACCUCAGAGAUGAAGAGCAUCUUCCUGCAAAGGAUCCUCAGCAGAAUUGGGGGCAGGGCACUCAUGGUCUUCAGCUUCACUAGAAUUUGUUCAUGUGUCCCAAUUCCAAUUUUACUUUUUCUUAAGGUACUAACUUUAACAUAAGAAACCCUUCAGGAUGGUGAAUUCAAUUUGCCUUGUAAUUCAGUUACCAGAAAGAUUUGGUUUUGUGUUUGUUUUUCAGAACUUUUGGCCCUGUGUCUAUAGGAAGAAAGAUAAUUUGUAAUGAUGUCAUUCAAGCAUUCUGAUAGCUUGGGCUGGGAAUUCAAAGUCCUGAAUUCAUCAUUUCCCCUCUAAGUUCUCGAUUUUAUUUAGAAGCAACUAACUGAUUCCAUGCUACAUCUUAUUUCCACUAAAAUAUUUUUUGACGUGGAUGACUUGGUUACCCAAGCCCAGGUAUCUGCAAGUGAUAAGCUCUCAUUCUUUUGCCACCACUUAGUACACAUGCUUCGGGUGUUCUUUCAAAAACAGGAUCAGGCAUCUACUACGUGUCAGAGACUCUUCUGGUUUUCUGGAUUUACACCAUAACCAAGACAGAAACCAUCCCUACUCUCAUUUAGCUUAGUUCUAAGGGGACAGACAGAUAGAUUAAAAAUAAAUUUUAUUAAAUUUUCA
rnacentral:lncRNA from 1 species